CCUCUCUCUCUCUCUCUCCCCUCCCCUUCUGAGUCUUAUCAUAUAUCUGCACCGCCACUAGCUAGCUUGCCCUUGCCGGAUUCUGGUUUUUGCAUGGAGUUGUAGGAGCCCUACAUCCUUUUGUUUCUAUACAUAGAUAGUUAAUUCCAAAGGGCUCCUUACAACUCCAAGAAUCCUUCUCUCUCUUUGAAGCUUUGAGGUUGUUCUGUGGUAUAAUUUUGGUGGAAGAUGGGAGAAAUGUCAAGCUUCCAGCUGGGUGUUAUUGGUGCACUGUUUCUUUCAGUGGCAUCAUCUGUCUCCAUUGUCAUAUGCAACAAAGCUUUGAUGAGCAAUCUUGGCUUCCCUUUUGCUACAACCCUCACUAGCUGGCACCUCAUGGUGACUUUCUGCACCCUUCACUGUGCACAACGGUUCAACCUGUUUGAGUCGAAGCCCAUUGACAUGAAAACUGUAAUGCUCUUUGGCAUUCUUAAUGGUGUUUCUAUUGGACUGCUCAACCUCAGCCUGGGAUUCAAUUCCAUUGGAUUCUACCAGGUACAUCUCCUUAGUACCAUUUGGGAUUGCAGGUAGAUUGCUUCUACACAAAUCAUCACACUCAAAAACACAGUUUUUUUUAUUCAUUUAGCUUGAAAUUUCUAUCUUUAAAGUUUAUUUCCACAAUCCUGAGUACCAAACUUAUAUUUUUUUAUAGCUUUUAUCUUGUAUGUGUACUUACUUUUCCUGGGAUGCUUUUUAUAUUACUGCAGAUGACCAAACUUGCAAUCAUACCAUUCACUGUUCUAUUGGAAACUCUUUUCUUGAAAAAGCAAUUCAGGUUAUAAAAUGUGCCUCUGCAGAUAUUCAAACAGAAUUUUCUAAAAUAUUACUAUAAUUGUGAUUUACUUAUUCAAACUCUUGCAGUCAGAAGAUUAAAUUUUCUCUCUUCCUCUUGCUUGUUGGGGUUGGCAUUGCCUCUGUGACUGAUCUCCAGCUCAAUUUUGUUGGCACAAUUCUCUCUAUGUUAGCCAUUGUAACAACCUGUGUUGGCCAAAUUGUAUCCUUUUCUUAGUUAUCCCUUUUAUGGAAGGAAAUGAAUUGAUCACUAUGAGAGAAAAAGUUCAUUCUUAACUCAAAUGCUUAAUUCAGCUGACAAAUACAAUACAAAAGAGGCUUAAUGUUUCUUCAACUCAGCUGCUUUAUCAAUCUGCCCCAUUUCAGGCUGCAAUUCUUUUUGUCUCAGGUCCUUUGGUUGAUCAAUUCCUCACCAAAAAGAAUGUUUUUGCUUACAAAUAUUCUUCUAUAGUCUUGGCUUUCAUCAUCCUCUCAUGCCUUAUAUCAGUGGCUGUGAACUUCAGCACCUUCAUGGUAAUAGGAAAGACAUCACCAGUUACAUAUCAAGUUCUUGGCCACCUCAAGACUUGCCUUGUUCUUGCCUUUGGCUAUACCCUUUUGCAUGACCCUUUCACUAUUAGAAAUAUCUUUGGAAUUCUUGUUGCCAUCUUUGGCAUGGG
rnacentral:misc_RNA from 1 species